rnacentral:misc_RNA from 1 species
AACUUUUGACACUGGAUCUCUUGGCUCUCGCAUCGAUGAAGAACGCAGCGAAAUGCGAUACGUAAUGUGAAUUGCAGAAUUCAGUGAAUCAUCGAAUCUUUGAACGCACCUUGCGCCCCUUGGUAUUCCGAGGGGCACACCCGUUUGAGUGUCGUGAAAAUCUCAACCUUCUCGGUUUCUUCUGGACGCCGAAGGAGGCUUGGACUUUGGAGGCCUUUGCUGGCGUCUCUCGCCAGCUCCUCUCAAAUGAAUUAGCGGGGUCCUCUUUGCCGAUCCUCGACAUGUGAUAAGAUGUUUCCAUGUCUUGGUUUCUGGCUCUGUUGCCUUUGGGACCCGCUUCUAACCGUCUCAACAGACAAUGUUUGUGAGCGUGUCUCCCCUCUCGGGAAACGCUCUCAAACCCCCACGAACCCUUGACCUCAAAUCGGGUGAGACUACCCGCUGAACUUAAGCAUAUCAAUAAGCGG